AUUGAGGUUGAUGAUUUCAUUGAACUAUCAUCAGAGCUAGUACAACCUUUUAAGGAUUUUUAUGAUGAAGUAUAUAUGUGAUGGUGGUAUGUUCUCUUCGUGUCCUACUCGUAUCGUUAAUAAUUUAUGGUUCUUUAGUAUGAUUAAUUAAUUUAGUAAUCAGCUUGUUUGACAUAGUUCCAUGAACUUGUUUAUAAGCUUGCUUUACGGGACAAAAAGUUGAAAGAACUUUUUUUAAUGAUAAGCCAAAAUAUUGUAUUAAUAAUUGGGGGGUUAUCAAACAAUCGCUAACCCAGCAACAGGGAAGAACAAAUCGAAGCAAUCGAAAAUCAAACCACUCCGUACAAUAACAACACUCAAAACGCACAAAAUGCUAUAAAACACCGAAAUGGAAAGAACAAGCGGCUCUCACACUGUUCCAUUUCAACCCACAAUCACCUUGACAUCCAAAAUGCAUACCACAACUAUCUAGAACACAAAAAACAUCCCUCACAUCAACAGAAAAACUGAUAAGCUAACACAACCAAGCAAAAUCUAAGUCCAACUCAGACAGAUCAUGAGACACAUCAUAUUCAAAUAAACCCACACUUGUGAAUUUGCAAUCUUAGUAUAUGGUGCAUUCCUAUUAUUUGAUCAAAAGUGUAAUGGUGAAAAUUAGAUAUUUAAAGUACAUGGCAUAACAUAUCCAUUGUUUAAUAAUGGCACAAUAGUUGUUUAUAGAAAUAAAAUACUUUAUGGUGUGUGCAUUUGCCAUUCCUAUUACACAUUUAGGUAUAAUGGUGCCGAUAUGUGAAUUUGAAAUUUUAGCGUGCAGUGCAUUCCUAUUUAAGGUACUUGACAUGGCAUUCCUAUCAUGUAAUAUUGGAAUGAUGGUGCUUAUAGAAAAAAUGAAACUUUAACGUGUGGAAAUGUGGCAUUCUUAUUAUACAUUAAGGUAAAAUGGUGCCUAGAUGUGAAUAUGAAAUCUUAGCAUAUGGUGCAUUCUUAUUAAUCGAUCGAAGGUGUGGUGAUGCAAAUUAGAUAUUUAAAAUACUUGACGUGGCAUUCCUAUUGUGUAAUAAUGGCACAAUGGUGCUUAUAAAAAUAAUAAAACCUUAAGGUGCGGGCAUGUGGCAUUCUUAUUAUACAUUAAGGUAUAAUGGUGCCUAUAUGUGAAUAUGAAAUCUUAGUAUAUGAUGCAUUCUUAUUAUUUGAUCGAAGAAGUGAAGGUGCAAAUUAGAUAUUUAAAGUACUUGACGUAGCAUUUCUAUUGUGUAAUAACGGCAUAAUGGUGCUUACAAAAAUAAAAAAACAUCAAGUGUGUGAGCAUGUGGCAUUCCUAUUAUACAUUAAGGUAUAAUGGUGCCAAUCCGUGAAUUUUAAAUCUUAGUAUAUGGUGCAUUUAUAUUAUUUGAUCGAAGGUAUAAUGAUUCAAAUUCGAUAUUUAAAGUGCUUGAUGUGGCAUUCCUAUUGUGUAAUUAUGGCACAAUGGUGCUCACAGACAUAAAAAAACUUUAAGGUUUUGAUAUGUGGCAUUCCUAUUAUACAUUACGGUAUAAUGGUGUCAAUAUUUGAAUUUGAAAUCUGAGCAUAUGUUGCGUUCCUAUUAUUUGAUUGAAGGUAAAAUGGUGCAAAUUAAAUGUUUAAAGUACUUGACCUGGCAUUCCUAUUAUGCAAUAAUGGCACAAUGGUACUUAUGGAAAUAAUAAACUUUUAAGGUACGGGAAUGUGGCAUUCCUAUUAUACAUUAGGGUAUAAUGGUGCCAAUAUGUGAAUUCGAAGUCUUACUAUAUGGUCAUGUCCGGAUUAUGUCCCUCCAUUCCUUUUUUGUUUGUUGGGAUUAUAAGUGGAAACUUAUCUUACGUUCUUCGUUAUACUUCAGUGGCUACUGUUAUGGUAUGUAUGCAUACUUAUUUAUUGUUUCCUCCAGCCUCUUCUCAUUUUUUAUGAAGUAUUGGAAGAUGAAUUUAAUUAUUAUGGUAUCUAUUAAGUAUUUUGACAAAAUUAUGAAAUCAGUCAGUUUUCUUCCCUAUUGAUUAUUUGAUCUAACUAAUUUUGAUUUUUUGUGGUUUACAAAUGCCAUUAAUUUGCCAUAACUAAGUAGUGAUUCCUUUUGAAGUGCUCAUGAAAAACUAAAAAUGCUGAACUUUCAUUCUCGGUGAAUAAAGCUGCAUCAGAAACAAAUGAAGAGAUGGCUUUAUGGAACACUUUCUUGUUUGUUAAAAACAAAAUUCACCCCGGCAUAUUGUUAGUUUAUUACUAGACUCCUGGUAUUGAGGUUGAUGAUUUCAUUGAAAUAUAGUCAGAGCUUGUACAACCUCUUGAGGAUUUUUAUGAUGAAGUAUUUGUGAUGGUGUCAAGACCUUUCGAGAUCAAAUUUCCGCAUAGAACUUGAUGCUGCUAGUGCAACUUGGUUACUAAAUGAUGUAACCUUGCUAUCAACAAAGACUGGAGAACUGUUACUGUUGACCCUUCUUUAUGAUGGGCGAUAAGUGUUUUCAUUUGGUUGUCAUUUGGAUUUUCACUAGUAUUUUGUUGUAUUUUAGUUUCCUUUUAAGCUGAAGAAUAAUAUCUGCGUCUUUUUUGGGUUUGAUGUCACAAUUAAUUGAAUUGGUAGACAAUCUUUGUUUUA
rnacentral:tRNA from 10 species